GGAUUGCCCCAGUAACGGCGAGUGAAGCGGCAACAGCUCAAAUUUGAAAUCUGGCCCUCCUUGGGGGCCGAGUUGUAAUUUGCAGAGGAUGCUUCGGCGUUGGCCCCGGGCCAAGUCCCCUGGAACGGGGCGUCCUAGAGGGUGAGAGCCCCGUACUCACCCGGGUGUCCCUCGCCUGACGAAGCUCCUUCGACGAGUCGAGUUGUUUGGGAAUGCAGCUCUAAGCGGGAGGUAAAUUUCUUCUAAAGCUAAAUACCGGCCAGAGACCGAUAGCGCACAAGUAGAGUGAUCGAAAGAUGAAAAGCACUUUGGAAAGAGAGUUAAAAAGCACGUGAAAUUGUUGAAAGGGAAGCUCUUGCCGCCAGACUUGCCGCGGUUGUUCAGCCGUCCCCUCGGGGCGGUGUACUCUUCCGCCGGCAGGCCAGCGUCGGUUCGGGCGGCCGGACAAAGGCCACGGGAAUGUAGCACCUCCAGGGGUGUGUUAUAGCCCGGGGCGUAAUGCGGUCAGCCCGGUCCGAGGGACGCGUUCGCGAGGACGUUGGCGUAAUGGUUGCAAGCGACCCGUCUUGAAACACGGACCAAGGAGUCUAACAUCUGUGCGAGUGUUUGGGCGUCAAACCCAUGCGCGCAAUGAAAGUGAACGGAGGUGGGAACCCCGCGAAGGGGCGCACCAUCGACCGAUCCUGAUGUCUUCGGAUGGAUUUGAGUAAGAGCAUAGCUGUUGGGACCCGAAAGAUGGUGAACUAUUCCCGGAUAGGGUGAAGCCAGAGGAAACUCUGGUGGAGGCUCGCAGCGGUUCUGACGUGCAAAUCGAUCGUCAAAUCUAGGAAUAGGGGCGAAAGACUAAUCGAACC
rnacentral:rRNA from 1 species